GUAUUGUAUUGCGUUAAACGCGGCGCACAUUCCAUAAGACUUUGCUGCGGUGUGUAUGUAAAGACGUAGAGCUACAGGAGGGAGGAGGCGACGCGCCUCCCCCCCAGACCAUAGAACUACAGAGGGUGCACAGGUGUGAGUGGAUGUGUGAACAGAGCGUGCACAUGCCCCCGUUUGAGGACCAGCGACAACUCGUGUCGACGACUCGGUAAUGAUCCUUCCGCAGGUUCACCUACGGAAA
rnacentral:misc_RNA from 1 species